rnacentral:tRNA from 1 species
UGGCUCAGCGGAUAAGAGCAUCUACUUCUCUUGCAGAAGACCUGGGUUCGAGUCCCAG